rnacentral:rRNA from 1 species
UACGGGGGGAGCAAGCGUUGUUCGGAUUUACUGGGCGUACAGGGAGCGUAGGCGGUUGGAUAAGCCCUCCGUGAAAUCUCCAGGCUUAACCUGGAAAGUGCAGAGGGGACUGUUCAGCUAGAGGAUGGGAGAGGAGCGCGGAAUUCCCGGUGUAGCGGUGAAAUGCGUAGAGAUCGGGAGGAAGGCCGGUGGCGAAGGCGGCGCUCUGGAACAUUUCUGACGCUGAGGCUCGAAAGCGUGGGGAGCAAACAGG